AUGACGGAAUAUUGGACGGAGGGGCUGAUUGGUUCAGGAGUAAACGAGAUUAGCCGUGGACAAAGACGUAGAUGCCACACACACACACACACACACACACACACACACACACACACACACACACACACACAAAACCGAAUGCAAGAUCUCCCGGCAGAUAUAAUAAUGGCAGCUUAUAAGGGGGAAACAAACUAUGCCUAUUUUCUAGGUGCAGGGGUUGGACCUGACAGAUAUGGACCUGGUGGAUUUGGGCCUGGGGGUGUUGGGCCAGGAGGUGCUGGCACAGGAACGGGAGGCUUCGGACCUGGAGGGGCUGGGACAGGAACCGGAGGCUUCGGACCAGGAGGGGCUGGCACAGGAACGGGAGGCUUCGGACCAGGAGGGGCUGGGAUAGGAACCGGAGGCUUCGGACCAGGAGGGGCUGGGACAGGAACCGUAGGCUUCGGACCAGGAGGUGCUGGCACAGGAACCGGAGGCUUCGGACCAGGAGGUGCAGGUUUCGGACCAGGAGGUGCUGGCACAGGAACUGGAGGUUUCGUACCAGGAGGUGCUGGCACAGGAACUGGAGGCUUCGGACCAGGAGGUGCAGGUUUCGGACCAGGAGGUGCUGGCACAGGAACUGGAGGUGUCGUACCAGGAGGUGCUGGCACAGGAACGGGAGGCUUCGGACCAGGAGGUGCAGGUUUCGUACCAGGAGGUGCUGGCACAGGAACUGGAGGUUUCGUACCAGGAGGUGCUGGCACAGGAACUGGAGGCUUCGGACCAGGAGGUGCAGGUUUCGGACCAGGAGGUGCUGGCACAGGAACUGGAGGUUUCGUACCAGGAGGUGCUGGCACAGGAACUGGAGGCUUCGGACAAGGGGGCCAAGGAUUUGGAAAAAGAAAACCUUUUAAAUCUGGUAAGUAAUGAUAAUACAAGUAAAACUAAAAAGGGUUAGGGUUAUACUUAUUAGAUUUUAUUGUUUUAUAAGAAAGUAAUUUGCAGAACAGUGUUUGACCAUUUGCAUCUCUUUUUUCCAGGUUAUGGAGGAGCAGGAUAUGGAUCAGGUGAGGUUUGGGUUAGGAUUAGGGAUGGUAUAUAUUUGUUCACAUUUAUGAAGUAUAUAGUUGUGCUUAUAUAUUUAAAUGUUUCCCAGCAGGACGAUUAGGAGGAGGUAUAGGAGGUGGUCCUGGUGGAGUUGGAGCUGGACCUGCAGGCUAUGGCCCAGGAGGACCAACUGGAACAGGGACAGGCCGUUUUGGUUAUGGGCCUGGAGGUGCUGGAACUGGUGGCUUUGGCCCAGGAGGUGCUGGAACUGGUGGCUUUGGCCCAGGAGGUGCUGGAACUGGGCCAGGGGGUUUUAGACCUGGAGUUGUGGCUGGAUACGGACCUGGUGGCCAAGCAUUUGGGAAUAGGAAGCCUCCUAAAUCGGGAUACGGCUUGUCGUUGGGUGGAACUGGCUAUGGACCAGGUAAAACUCUCUAUUGAUGCCUAUAAAUAAACAGUUAAAUUCUGAUAAUUACUGAUACAAGCUCUUAUUUUCACUGGAUAUUUACCAAACAGAACAAACUAUUGAAACAAUUAUGAUUAUUAUUUAUUCCAUAUUAUAUUGUCUGAUAGACUAGUUUACAAUGACAAAAUACAAUAAACUUGAAGUCUUAUCCACAUGACAGAACUGGACUGUAAACCUCUUCGGUUUUCAUCUUUGUUCCAUCUUUAUUCAGUUGUUGUUGUGUUUUCCUAUUUAAUCUGUGCUAAAAUAAUACACUUACUCUGAUAUGUUACCUGCUAGUCAUGUAUAGUCUGAAUAUAAUCUAUAUAAUCUAAUUUACUUUAAUCCCAUCUAUGUUCAUCAGGUGGUGGAGCAGGAGGGCUUCCUGGUGCAGGAACAGGAGGGAUCAUUGGAGGCUCAGGUGAGUUUCUUGUUUGUAAUGGAAAAUGGUGACUAGAAUAUUAGUACAUUUAGGUUUGGCAGAGCACAAACUGAACAAGCACAACUUCAUAUUCUUCAAUGUGCCUGGUGUCUUUGUAAAAGGUGUCAAAGUGUGAUAAUGUCUGUCAAACAUACUAGUAAACUUCUAAGCCAGUAAAGCCUUCUCUCUGCUAACAGUAUACUGUGUGUCAUGGUUAGCUUAUGCUUUCAAGCGUUUGACUGAUUUCACUUGCCUGUCCAGGUAAUGCAGGAGGAACAGGAGGUCCGUUAGGAACAGGUCAGGGAGUAGGAGGAGGUGCGGGCGGCUUACCAGGUCAGUUUAGGUGGAGCACUGAUACAAUACAGAACAAUAUAGUAUGAACAUUUGCAUUUUUAUAUUUUGAGAUUUGAAAACAAAUGCAUUUACAGACCACUGCACAGUAAAGACCU
rnacentral:lncRNA from 1 species